CUUGAACGCUGGCAGCAGGCCUAACACAUGCAAGUCGAGCGGUAGCACAGAGAGCUCGCUCUCGGGUGACGAGCGGCGGACGGGUGAGUAAUGUCUGGGAAACUGCCUGAUGGAGGGGGAUAACUACUGGAAACGGUAGCUAAUACCGCAUAACGUCGCAAGACCAAAGUGGGGGACCUUCGGGCCUCAUGCCAUCAGAUGUGCCCAGAUGGGAUUAGCUUGUAGGUGAGGUAACGGCUCACCUAGGCGACGAUCCCUAGCUGGUCUGAGAGGAUGACCAGCCACACUGGAACUGAGACACGGUCCAGACUCCUACGGGAGGCAGCAGUGGGGAAUAUUGCACAAUGGGCGCAAGCCUGAUGCAGCCAUGCCGCGUGUGUGAAGAAGGCCUUCGGGUUGUAAAGCACUUUCAGCGGGGAGGAAGGCGAUAAGGUUAAUAACCUUGUCGAUUGACGUUACCCGCAGAAGAAGCACCGGCUAACUCCGUGCCAGCCGCCGCGGUAACAC
rnacentral:rRNA from 1 species